rnacentral:tRNA from 1 species
AAAGCUUUAAGUUAAAUUAAACUAUUAGCCUUCAAAGCUGGAAAUAUAUAAUGUAUAAGCUUUA